GACGAACGCUGGCGGCGUGCCUAAUACAUGCAAGUCGAGCGAAUCUUGAGGUGCUUGCACCUCUUGGUUAGCGGCGGACGGGUGAGUAACACGUGGGCAACCUGCCUGUAAGACUGGGAUAACACCGGGAAACCGGUGCUAAUACCGGAUAAUCCUUUUCCUCUCAUGAGGGAAAGCUGAAAGUCGGUUUACGCUGACACUUACAGAUGGGCCCGCGGCGCAUUAGCUAGUUGGUGAGGUAACGGCUCACCAAGGCGACGAUGCGUAGCCGACCUGAGAGGGUGAUCGGCCACACUGGGACUGAGACACGGCCCAGACUCCUACGGGAGGCAGCAGUAGGGAAUCUUCCGCAAUGGACGAAAGUCUGACGGAGCAACGCCGCGUGAGCGAUGAAGGCCUUCGGGUCGUAAA
rnacentral:rRNA from 1 species